UUUGGUGAUGAUGGCAGAGAGGUCACACCCGUUCCCAUACCGAACACGGAAGUUAAGCUCUCUAGCGCCGAUGGUAGUUGGGACCUUGUCCCUGUGAGAGUAGGACAUCGCCAAGC
rnacentral:rRNA from 5 species